rnacentral:rRNA from 1 species
CCGCGGUAUAUUGACCGUGCGAAGGUAGCAUAAUAAUUUGUCUUUUAAUUGAGGACUAGUAUAAAUGGUCGAACAAAAAGUUAGCUGUCUCUGAGUCAUAUCUUGAAUUUAACAUUUAAGUGAAAAGGCUUAAAUAAUUUAAGGGGACGAUAAGACCCUAUAAAUCUUUAUAUUAAUUUAUUGUUAAGCUGGAAAAUAGAAUUAAUUCGUGGGGUAACAAUUUUAAAUAUUUUGUUGGGGAGACAGAAGUAUAAAAGAAUAACUACUUUGGAUAAAGAGUUAAUGAUAUUUAAUGUAGAGACCCUUUCCUAAGGGUUAUAGAACAAGUUACUUUAGGGAUAACAGCGUAAUUUCUUUUGAGAGUCCAUAUCGAAAAAGAAGCUUGCGACCUCGAUGUUGAAUUAAAGACCCUAUAAUAACGCAGAAGUUAUAAAAGGAGGUCUGUUCGA